rnacentral:lncRNA from 1 species
AAACACAAAAAUAGAGAGUAACAGCAGCUUAUAGAUUUGCCCAAGCAAUAAGCAUUAAUUUAACUAUCCAGUAUAAGUUGAACACACUCACACAGGUUUAGAUGCCAACUAAAAAGUUAAAAAUUCCCAGCAACAAAGAUAUUUGAAAAGCUAGUUGACAAUAUUUAAGCUUCAACAACAUACAACACUUCAAAGGAAAAAGAAAGCUCAAGUUUUGGAAAUUUACUAGACCAAUAAUGGAGCGAAAUCAAAUUUAUGCAGUCAUAACUGCAGGCCUUUUGUACCCAAGAAAUGCUUGGCGAAGUUCUUGAUACCCACUCCUAUAAUGCUCCAGCGAGAAACAAAGCUGCCUUAUUGCCUCUCGCUUCUCCUCAGCCGCAUCUAAGAUGACCAUUCUCUGUCGGUCCACCUCAUUCUCCAGUUCCUUCACUCUGAAUCUUAAUUCAUCUACUAGCUUCCUUGAAGAUUCAGAUGCAGCAAUCAAUUCCACAUGUUCAAUAUGUAGCUUUCGUGAGUGUUCCUCUAUUUGGCCAAUGUGAUUGUCUCGGGAUCUUGCUUCUGCCACGAGUGUGUUUACCUUUGCAUUAAUCUCAUCUUUCUCUGCCAUAAGCAUGUCAUAUUUCAGUUUAAGACUGUCCAUAAUUUUGUUCAAAGCUUCAAUGCGGUUAUCUCUCUCACAAACCUCUACUUUCAACUGAUUAAUCUCACUUUGCAUCCCCCUUUCUUGGGCCUCAUACAGACCUUUGAUCUCCAUUUUUUCAGUUUCACACUGCCUUAUUUUGUCUUCCAAUGCUUUUCCUUGCAAUUCCCACUCUUUGAGCCUUGCAUCUAAAAGGGCCUGUUUCUCUAAUAAGCAAAACAUUUCAGACUGCAAUUGUGCUUUGUCUGAAGUGAACUUUUCCUCUGCAUCGCUCAAUGCAAUUUUCAGUUCUGCAACCUCAUUAUUACGGUCAGACAGAUUAGUUUCAACUUUUGCAAUCCUCUCUUGAAACUUCAGAACCUGCAUUCUCUCAUAAUCAAGCUUUGCAUUCAACGUGGUCACAUCAUCUUGAGCAAGUUUAAGCUGGCCUUGCAGUUGAUGAGUACCCUCAGAAAUUUCAUUAGUAAGUUGAUUGUUUAAUCGAUUUAUCUCUUCCUCUGAUCCCUUAAGUCUCUCACUACUUACUUCAAGCUCUUUCAUCAACCUUUCAAUCUCAAAAUUUGAUUCUGAAAGACGAGUUUCUAACUCACUCACAUAGUUUUGCAGUUCAAACACUUGUCUUCUCUCCAUCUCCAGAUCAGCCUCCCUGAUAUUGACAUCUCUCUUUGCCAAUUCAAUCUGAGAAUGAAGCUCACUCUUCAACCUGGCAACCUCUUCUUCUGAAAGCUGGAGACUUAAGUUUAAAACCCUUAACUUGACUUCAUACUCAGUAACACGCCCAUGUAGUUCUUCAUAAGUUUCAUUUGCUUCCUCGGUAAGUUCCUUGCCAUCCAUGUUUAUAGGUGCAUCCAGGUGGAUUUUGACAGAGGAGUUAGAAAACUCUGACUCUGAGUCCGAUGAUGAGGGUGAAGAUAAUUCAGCCCCUUCCUUCAAAGAAAAAUUAGAGCUGCCACCAGAGGUAGAAGAUGUAGCUUGACAGCUAGUGUUGUGCAAACCCAUCUUACGAUCAGGAGUCAGCAGUGGAGAGCCUUGGGCAGAGCCAGAUUUAGUGUUACCAGAACCCUGCAGUGGAAUAUCUGAUGGUACAUUCUUUUGUAAUUCUCCAGUCAGAUGAUCGUAGCGCUCAGCCAAAGAUUGAUAAAAGUGAUAGAAAUCCUCAAUGUGAGCAGUCAACUCCGGCCUAUGAAAUUUUGACAAAGAUUCACCAUCUUCUAUCAGUUUCUGCAUUUGCUUGACACUCCGGUCCAUCUCUGCAAAAUUUCACGAUUUUUUUGUCAUUCGUACAAACUAAGCGCUUUAGAACGAAUUAAACAGUAAAUCAACAUCAGAGAAAAGAUCAUUAUCCCAACAAGAGUAUGAUGCUCAACUGAAAGCACAAAAUCCUACCAUUGGAAUGUAAAAAUGAGCUCACGAAUGAACUUCAAACCAGCAAACAAAUAAAUUACCGAGAAACAAAACAGGGAGUAAGGAAGGAUGCAGCAACUUACCCUGAAGAUUUUCUGCCAGCCAUCUUGAGCUUGAUCGCGACUCCUUGGAUUCUGUUUGCUUCAUAUCAGUCUCCAUCUGACUUCAAUUACUAUAUGCCAUACACAAUACAAGCUCUUUAACAGAAAUCCGCGUAUUUUAAAGUGUGAAUAUGAGGCUUAAGCAUCCAUGUCUAACAAGAGUUGCUAGAAUACAGUGUUAAACUAGACCUAGUCUUGAAGCCACAAUUAAACAAAUAAUUAAUUACAAAAAUUAAUUAAAAUGUUUAAGACUCUAUAGCUCAUUGAGAUAAAAGUGGAAUUUCAUCAUCAUCUUGUACUUAAUAAAUAUCCAACCGAUUACUAAAAACUUAAACCGAUCGGAAAUUAAAAAAAAAAAAAACUCCAAUUAUAAUGACGAAGAGAAGUAAUUAUUAAGCAUAAACAGAUCUUGUAAAUCUCAGGAGCCAAACACAUACAUAAAUCAUGAAAAAUAAAAUAAAAUCAAAUGAAACUAGUAGUAAUGAGGAAGCUCAAUUUACUAGCCGUUUUGAUAUAGCAAGGCAGAUGAAAAGCUGAAAUCUGAUGCAGGGAAUUAUUAUGAGAGAGAUAUGUUGAUGAUAGAACCUGAAGAAAAUGGGGACAAUGAGAAAAGGCUGAGAGAGGGAACAUAAAAAGGCGUUCUUAAUUAGAUUUUUUUUUUUUUCAGGGGGCUUUAGCCUUGUAGUAUUCAGCUUUGCUGCUGACGUCAGAUUGGGGGCUGAAAAAAUCUCUGCGUUCAUAACUGAGGUUGACAUUCAUCUGACGCUGCUUUGGCUGUUCAUUGGGGGAAGAUAAAAGAACAUCCGAUGAAAAGCUUUCUGCUGCCAGCUUAUGAGAAGUAACAGUAGAAUUGUUUUCCUUUCCUGCCAUGUUGUCAGUAGUUGAGCUUCUCACAGUUGUAUUACUCUGACUAUUAACGUCCUCUGCCAAUUUUGCUCCGGCAUGCGGUGAGCUCAUCUCAUUUAACUCCACUUCUGAAUUUGCUCUCGCCAAUUGAGACAGAUCUUCAUUUUCAUGAUUAGCAUCCUCAAAUGAUGAACAAACUUUAAUGGAAACUCCAGGCUGUUUGAUGUUGCAAUCCUGAGACUCAUAGUGAUCACUUUUGUUGUUUUGAUCUUUAUCUGAUGAAUUUAACUCUUCAGAAUUUGCAACACUGCAAUCUCUGGAUAGUUGUUUAUCCAAAGAACAUUCACCUGAGGAAGGAAGAAUUGCAUUUUGGCUAGAGCUGCUAGAUUCUCCAUCUUUGGAGACAUGAUCUGUGGAUAUUUUUUGGUCCCCUCCACUGUUUUGGUCCAAUGAACAUUCACCUGAGGAAGGAAGAAUUGAAUUUUGGCUAGAGCUGCUAGAUUCUCCAUCUUCAGAGACAUGAUCUGUGGAUAUUUUUUGGUCCCCUCCACUGUUUUGGUCCAAAGAACAUUCACCUGAGGAAGGAAGAAUUUGUUUUUGACUAGAGCUGCAAGCUUCUCCAUCUUCAGAGAUAUGAUCUCCGGAUUGUUUUUGAUCCCCUUCCCCAUUUUGGUCCAAGGAACGUCCAGCCGAGGAAGGAAGAUUUUCUUGUUGACUGGAGUUGCUACAGUCUCCAACCAAAGACAUGAUAUUUGAACAUUUUUUUAUCUCCUCCCUGGUUUUGAUCCAAAGAACAUUCGGCUGCGGAAGGAAGAAUUGCUCUUUGCUUAGAGCUGCCAGAUUCUCCAACCUCAGAGACACGAUUCGACUCAUUCAUCUGAGCAGUUUCUGUCUCAUGUGAGACAGAAGUAGUGCCAUUGGCAUUAUUCUUUCGUUUUUUUACUGCAGGCAGGAAGAAAAUUGAUAGAAGUUAGUUAACAAACUUAAUCCAUCAAAGAAAUCUUAGUAGAAGGAAUUCAUGGCAUUGAAAUUAUAUGUAUCUAGGAUGGCUUAGCAAUAUAAAAACUUAUAUCAAUUAGCAAACACUCCGUACAAUGGAGAGUACCACUAUUCAAAAUCUUACACUAAAAGACUAUGUCAAUCUAACAAGAGUAAUUACAUCCUUAAUUUCAGUCAAAUAGAGAAAAUUUUUAGAGUAGACCGAUAAAUUGGAGAACCAAAUCAUCCUAAGCACACUCCUCAACAGUUUGGAAUUUCUAAUCUCACAUGACAAGAAUGAUAUACCAUAGUUUCUUACUGAGUAGUCUCUUAAGUAGUUACCUCGCAGAACAGCGCCACAUCCACCACACUGGAAUACUGGAAUAUUUGGUGGCUCUGGAAGCAGCAUUCGACAUCUUGGGCAUCUAACCACUCGAACACUAUGAGUUGGUCCACUCUCCAUAUUCCUCAAGAUGUAUGCUUUAUGCAGUCAAUUAGAUUCCAACACUAACUUCAACACAGUACAGAGUUCAUAAUUAAACCCAGAUUCAACUAUGAACGAAGCGGCUUGUCGUAAGAUUAUACAGUCCCAUGCCUGCAAAAUCGGCAUCGUUACAGAAGUUAAAAGUUUGAAGUAGAAAGAGAAACUUAAGAAACUGUCAUCACAAAGCAAGUGAACAAAGUUGCUAAAGUAGUAAUAAGGCAUCAAUCUUUUUAACACUUUGGCAGCCAGGUGGAGAGAUUCUUAAUUUUCAGCUCAAAAGAAAUACAAAUGUAAAACAACCCAUUGAAAUAAUUUCAUCUCUUUAAACAGAUAUGUUGUCUAAAACAAGCUUUGUAUUUUCCCUUGAUCAAAUCAAGAAGCAAUCCGCAAUCUACAAACUGGGAAAAACACACUAAUUAAGGGCAUCAAAAUAUCUAAUUUUAAUCAAUAACCUAUCAACAAGCCGCUGCUAGCUAAUUAACUAACAGAAUAGAAUUAUGCAAUGGUCAACAUCAGACGUAUGCAGACAUAUAUAUAUGGACAGACAAGCAUAUAUAAGUAAACGAUGAUAAGCAAUGAAAUCUAGUAAAGAUUGCUGGAAUACACAAGGAAAUUAAACUAAACAGCUUUGAUCAUCAGAUCAAAUGACAGCAUCUUAAUGUUAAUUUAGAGAAAGAGAAAAAAAAAACAUACAUGCACGCACAUACCUGUAAUAGCAAUAACUAAAAUUUACAAGAUCUGGGGAUAUUGAGUUAAAACAAGAAAAAAAAGUUAAUGUUAAACGAAUUUUCAAAACAAAUAUAUUUAUAGAAGGGAAUUAAAUGUGAAAAUGGAUAGACAUGGGUAAAAAGUCGGAGACUAACGAACCUUACUGGAAAUUGGAAAAGCACCAGAAGAAAGAUUCUUGACGUGGAGGCGAAGUUGCUGCUGAAUGUCGAUGAUGAUGAUGUGAUGCUGCUUUUGAGACGCUGCAAUUUCUACGCAUACAUGUGUUAGAGAAUUUAAGAAUACGGAGGCAAGGAACAAAACAAAAUUUGUUAGGAUUUGAGACGUGUUUGCAUAUUUUCUUUUAAGGUUUUAUUUGUUCUCAUCAGUCUUUGUUUGUUAUAGAAUUUUAAUGGUAAAUUAUCCCAAGAUAUAUUAAAUCUUGAAUAUAAUCUCUAACAAAUAAGAUUGUAUUUCUAGAAUAUAUAUGAAACCUAUAAAAUCUGAUUAUUUUUUCUAUUUGUAUGUCUUUCUUUAAUAAAGAAGAUGUUUAUUGAAAGAAUACAACCAUUGAAAAUUAUACUUCUUCAAAGACACUCUUUUGGUUUUAAUUUGCAUCGAUUGACAAAUGAAAUUUUCAAGCUUGCUAACCGUUUUUCCAGUUGACGUCUCUCUGAAAAUAAACGGUUAGCCAUUUUCUCAAUAAAACGGUGAGUCGUUUUGUUCCAGAAUGUCAAAUACGUUGCUCUCUGUAAAUAAACGGUUAGUAGUUUUCUCAAUAACGGUGAGCUGUUUUCUCUAGAACAUAAAACAUGCUCUCUGGAGUUAAACGGUUAGUUGUUUUCUCCAGAAACGGCAAACCGUUUUCUUCCAGAAUAUCAAACCAAAGAUUGAAAAAUGUUACAAUUUCUCUUACAAUCCCCCACUAGAUUGUAAUAUUUUUUAGAUUUAUUAAUGAUAAAACUUAUACAUACAAAAAGGUAUCUUUCGAUUUUAACCUUUAAUUAGUAAGUGUAUUUCAAAGCAUUUACAAGACAAUAGUGUGCUAAGCAUUAAACUUUGUCUCUUAAGUAAAUACCGGAGAUACAUCACAUAUAAGCUAUCCCAGAUUUCAAAGUUGUGUUCCAAUAUUUAGCACUAAUCCGGCCUUGUGCUUUAUCUUGGAUUCAUGAACAUUUACAAGAUUAAACCAUGAUCUUGUUAGAAACGGCAUCAUUUCUUAUGUUCACUUAGUUGAAGUUUCAAAUCACGUCUUUAGCUACUAUAAGACUUGAACUUCAUUAAGAGUAAAUACUCAACCUCAACCUCAUAGCUAUUUGUACCGAAUAUCUCGAAUGAGAUUAUUUAUUAUUCGGUGUCGAACCAGUCACAUAACAACAACUUGUUAUUACCCAUUUAACUAUGGAGUAGCGGUAUAAUUACUACAUAGUUGGGUUACCGUCGUUGGUGACUUUAUUAUUUAAAGGUUUCAAUCCCAUUCCAAAAGAUGUAUCUUUAACUAAGUCUCUUGUAAGACCUUUUGUUAAAGGAUCUGCUAGGUUCUUAUUAGUCAUAACAUAAACAAUAUUAAUAACACCAUCUACUAUUAAUUGUUUGACAUAUUCAUGUCUCAAGCUAAUAUGUUUAGACUUUCCAUUAUACACUUUAUUAUAAGCUCUAGACAAUGUAGCUUCACUAUCGCAGUACAAAGAAAUAGAUGGCAUCAGUUGUGGCCACAUCAUUAUAUCAAACAACAAAUUUCUCAACCAUUCUGCUUCCUUGCCUGCAGCAACAAGUGCUAUAAACUCACUUUCCAUUGUUGAAUGAGUUAUGCACGUUUUGUUUCUUUGAAGCCCAAGAAACCGCUCCUCCAGCAAUUGUAAAAAUCCAACCAGAAGUGGAUUUAUUAUCUCUUGUAUUGGUUACCCAACUAGCAUCUUAAUAUACUUCUAGUACUUCAGGAUAAUCAUUAUAAGACAAACCCAAAUUAAUGAUCCUUUAAAGAUAACCAAGUAUCCUACAAAUUGCUUUCCAGUGUUAAACACUAAGGUUACUCGUGAAUCUUGACAUUUUGCAAACUGCAAAUGCUAUAUCAGGCCUCGUACAAUGCAUAACAUACAUCAAGCUACCAAUAACACUAGCAUAUUCUAGUUGCGCUACUACUCGGCCUGAAUUUUCUAGUAAUUUAAUACUAGAAUCAUAUGGGGUAUUAGCUUCUUUAAAUUUCAAAUAAUUGAAUUUAAGAAUCACUUUCUCUAUAUAAUGAGAUUGACACAACGAGUAACCCCCACUAUGUUUAUUCACUUUGACACCUAAGAUAGUAUCUACUUUACCAAGAUCUUUCAUCUUAAAUUGUGAAGUUAAAUACUUCUUUGUAUCAUCUACUCCUUGCAUAUUUGUUCCAAAGAUAAGCAAGUCAUCAACAUACAAGCAUAUAAUCACAUCAAAAUCAUUCGUAAAUUUAAAAUAUAUACAUUUAUCAGCAUUAUUAUGCUUAAAACCAUGAGAUAAAAUUACCGAAUAAAACUUCUCAUGCCAUUGUUUUGGUGCUUCCUUUAAACCAUAAAGUGAUUUGACUAACUUGCAUACAUUUUUCUCAUUUCCUGGCAAAACAAAUCCCUCAUGUUGUUCCAUAUAGAUUUCUUCAUCAAGAUCACCAUUAAGAAAAGCGGUUUUAACAUCCAUUUGAUGCACAUAUAAAUUGUUCAAUGAAGCAAUUGCAAAUAACACUUUUAUAGAAGUUAACCUUGCUACCGGAGCAUAUGUAUCGAAAUAAUCAAUACUAUUUCUUUGCUUAAACCCUUUGGCUACUAAUCUAGCCUUAAAAGUUUGCAAAGAACCAUCACUAUUGUACUUUCUUCUAAAUACCCAUUUGCUGCUAAUUGGUUUAAAUCCUGGAGGAAGAUCAACCAAGACCCAUGUUUGAUUAGACAUAAUCGAAUCCAUUUCAUCAUUCACUGCCUCUCUCCAAAAAGAAGCGUCUCUAGAAGACAUAGCUUCGCUAAAUGUCUUUGGAUCUUUUUCAAUAUUUAACAACAAUGGUACUUUGUUAAGUACAUUCUUUCUAUCCUCUUCAACCAACAAGAGUAGUGCUUGUGAUGAAAUAAAAUCCGGAGCUAAACUUUUUUUUUUCUUUUCGUGUUGACUCCUCCUUAGUUCGAAAGAUGUCAUAGACUCUUUCCUUUUAUUAUUGUUAGUGGAGGUAACAAGAGUAUUAACACAUGGUUGAUCAAUAAUUGAUUCUAAUUCAAUAUUAGAAUCAUGUUGAAAUUUAUUCUCAAUAAAUUCAACAUCUCUAGAUUCCACAAUCACAUUAGAAUCUAAAUUUAACAACCUAUAAGCCUUGGAAUUUUCAGCAUAUCCUACGAAAACACUCUUUAUACCUCUAGUACUUAACUUUGAUAAUUUAGGAUCAUGUAUUUUAUAAAAAGUUAAACAGCCUCAGACCCUUAAAUGCAUCAAGUUUGGUUUUCUUCCUUUCCAAAUUUCAUAAGGAGAUAUAUGUGUUUUCAAAGAUGUAAUUCUAUUAUGAAUAUGACAUGCAGUGAGUAAUGCUUCACCCCACAAAUUAUUUGGUAGUUUUGCAUUUAGGAUCAUGAAAUUUAUCAUAUCCGUGAAGAUCAUAUUCUUCCUUUCAGCCAAACCAUUUUGUUGAGGAGUAAAUGGACCUGAUCUUUGGUGAAUAAUUCCAAAUUCUUCACAAUAAUUAUUAAAUUCAAUUGAGAAAUAUUCACCACCUCUAUCACUACGAACCAUUUUGAUUUUCUUAUCUUUUUUGUUCUCAACUUCAGCUUUGAAAAUUUUAAAUUUAUCAAAAACUUCAUUUUUUGUUCUAAGUAAAUACAUAUAAGUGUAUCUAGAACAAUCAUCAAUAAAAGUGAUAAAGUACCUCUUACCUCCUCUUGUUAAAACAUCAAUAUACUCACAAAUAUCGAUAUGUAUUAAAUCCAAUAUUUGAGUAUUUCGUUCGGCUUUAGGAAAAUGUUUCUUAGUUAAUUUAGCUUGGAUGCCGAUUUCACAUUUAUGAUCUUUAACAUCAUUGCAAUUAAUCAAACCAUGCUUAGACAUGUAUUUCAAAGAUCUAAAGUUCAAAUGUGCUAAUCUAGUAUGCCAAACAUCACAAGACUCAACAAUAUAAGCUAAGUUGAUAUUAUUAUUAUUAAUGCUGAGUUUGUACAUUCCAUCACAAGAAUACCCUUUGCAUAAAAAAUAAAACCUUAAAGAUUGUUAGAGAAUUUAAGAAUGUGGAGGCAAAGAACAAAGAAAAUUUCUUAGGAUUUAAGACGUGUUUGCACACUUUCUUUUAAGGUCUUAUUUGCCCUCACCAAUCUUGAUUUGCUAUAGAGUUUUAAUGGAAAAUUACCCCUAAGAUAUAUCAAAUCCUGAAUACAAUCUCUAGCAAAUAAGAUUGUACUUCUAGAACAUAUAUGAAACUUGCAAAAUCUAAUUAUUUUUUUCUAAUUGUAUGUCUUUCUUUAAUGAAGAAGAUGUUUAUUGAAAGAAUACAACCAUUGGAAAUAGUACUUCUUCAAAGACACUCUUUUGGUUUGAAUUUGCAUCGAUUGACAAAUGAAAUUUUCAAGCUUGCUAACCGUUUUUCCAGUUGACACCUCUCUGGAAAUAAACGGUUAGUCGUUUUUUCAAUAAAACGGUGAGCCGUUUUAUUCUAGAAUGUCAAAUACGUUGCUCUUUGUAAAUAAACGGUUAGCAGUUUUCUCAAUAACGGUGAGCCGUUUUCUCUAGAACAUAAAACAUGCUCUCUGGAGUUAAACAGUUAGCCGUUUUCUCAAUAACGGUGAGCCGUUUUCUCUAGAACAUAAAACAUACUCUCUAGAGUUAAACGGUUAGCUGUUUUCUCCGGAAACGGCAAACCGUUUUCUUCCAGAAUAUCAAACCAAAGAUUGAAAAAUGUUACAAUCUCUCUUACAACAUGUAUAGAUAAAGAUUGUAUAUAGACUUGUAUGUACGGAUGUAUCAAAACACGUGAAAGUCUUCCUUUCUUCUUUCUAGAGUCAGUUUCUUUUUCGGUACGUGCUUCAGAAGCUUCUUUGAGGACUUUUUAAAAGUCAAGCUCAGCUACCCCACAACUUGUUCUUCUUGUUCUUGGUGUUGUUUUGAUUCCUAAAUUUGUGUGUUUUUUCGUUGUGUUGGGUGUUGGUGUUGGUUUUAAAAGAGAAAAGGUGGUGGGGGAGGCUUAGCGUUGACGUCGGUGCUGAUUGUAUUUAAGACACACCUGCUAGCUCUGCCUCUCUCUCUCUCUCACACACAUCAACUCUCAUAAGCUGUCCACUUACUUCAUCAUUUCUCUUUUUUCUUUUUAAUGGUAUGCAGACUUUUACAUAUUUUAAAAUACGAGACAUAUUAUAAUUAUCAAUUAAAUUAAAAAUUAUAUUUUUAAAACAUAAUAUAACAUAUUUUAAGUAGUAGUUUAAUUCUUAUAUGAGAUGAUUUAGUAUUCGUCUAUUAAAUAAAAAAUUCAUUCUAUAAAUAAACGUCACUAACGAGAUGAAAAAAGUGUGUUGUUACAGUGAUCUUAUUGUCUUAUUAGUGGUAAGUUACUCGCAUCAUUACUCUCUUUGCAAAUUUUUAGGGCAUUCAUGGAAAAUGGGCUUCGGCUGUGGAUUUUUAGGUAAUCAUCGACAUCUAUUCUUUGGUUUGUGUAGUGGACCGAAUCACAUAUUCACAUGGCUGGUAGUAUACGUAUUAUAAUAAGCUGGCAAGGAAGUAGGAAUCAUAAGUUUCACUACUGUCGUAGUUGGGGAAAUUGUCUUUUAGAUCCCCUCAUCAAUAAUUUAGGCUUUCAUGAUUGGUUAACUGCCAAAUUAAUAUAUAUAAAAAAAAAGAGUCGUGGGUGUUUAUAUACUUUAGCUGUUAUAAAUGGUUUCAAGACUAAGAGAACCGCAACAGUAAGAGUAUAAGACUCACUGUAAUAAGUCUAAUAUAAAUUCUAUCCGGGAAAAAAAAAAUGUGCAGUGGUGAUACAGAUGGAAGAAUACCAGUUUCUUCAACCAAGAAUUCUAUUAAUACGAUGAAGCUUCCAAUCAAAACUCCGUGGCAUGCUUGGUACCUUUAUGGGGAGGUGAAUUUUCAAAUUAAAUACUAUGCCUUUUUUAAUUUAAUUUCCUCUGGUGUCAAAUGUCUAUGAACAAUGAAAGACAAAGUGUCUAUUUAUAUAUAUAUAUAUUUUUUAAUUAAUGCAGGUUGGUGGAUACACACAAGUGUACAAAGGAGACAGAACAUUUGCUACAGUACGAGGAGCAGGGCAUCAAGUACCAAGCUACCAGCCCAAGAGAUCACUUUCAUUAGUCAAGCACUUCCUUGAUGGCUGACCUCUUCCUAAUGCUUCCAGAUACACUUGAUUAAUAAAAUGAAAAUCUGUGCAGAAUAUUUUACAAACAUAAUAAAAUAACAUGAGUAAAUAAAAUUAAUGUGGCACUUUUUCUUUUUCUUUAUCAAAAUAGAACCUACUGUAUUUUCACUUUCAUUUAUACUCGUGCUUUGAAUUACCACAUACUCUACUUUGUCCAUAUAAAAAUUGUAGUAAUUUCUAAUUCAUCUUAAAACACAAAAAUAGAGAGUAACAGCAGCUUAUAGAUUGCCUAAGCAAUAAGCAUUAAUUUCACUAUCCAGUAUAAGUUGAACACACUCACACAGGUUUAGAUGCCAACUAAAAAGUUAAAAAUUCCCAGCAACAAAGAUAUUUGAAAAGCUAGUUGACAAUAUUUAAGCCUCAACAACAUACAACACUUCAAAGGUAAAUGAAAGCUCAAGUUUUG